rnacentral:rRNA from 1 species
ACGCUCGACACCUACGGGAUGCAGCAGUGGGGAAUAUUGCACAAUGGGGGAAACCCUGAUGCAGCGACGCCGCGUGGAGGAAGAAGGUCUUCGGAUUGUAAACUCCUGUUGUUGGGGAAAAAGAGGAUGGUACCCAACAAGGAAGUGACGGCUAACUACGUGCCGGCAGCCGCGGUAAUCUGAGCGGGCUGGCAAGGC